CAGACAUUUCAAAGCUGAUGAUAUUUGUCAAUCAAAAAUUUUUGGAGUUGUUAAAUCUUCUAUAAAACGUAAUGCAGUUCCUACACUUUAUUUAACAAAUCCACUCAGUAUUGAUAAAACUAGUAAAUUACCACCAAACACGCCGCUAUCGGAAGUAUUUGAUGAGAAUGGAGUCAGCAAUCAAUCGUCAUCAUGUUUUUCUGAGAAUAAUAUUGUCAACCAAUAUAAUGUACUCAAUACUUUGCAAAAAAGUCCAAAAAAAUGUUUUGAAGUAGACAAUACUGAAUGUCAAACCUCAAAUAAUAGUAGCAUUAAUUUUGGAGCCUCUAGUAACCAAUCUGAUUUAAAUGAAUUUAUAGAAAAUGCAAAAUCAAAUCCUAUCAGCGAAGACGAAAAUACUGUUCCACAUGAAAUUGAUUCCCCAAAUCAAUUUCGAAAGCGUAAAUUUUACGAGCCUCGUCAUGUUAGUGAAAUUUCAAUAUCAGAUUUUGCGACGCCUAAAAGGAGUAAAAGAACCCUUUCUUUAAUAAAAGAGACUGAUAAAAAAAAAAA